UACGUAGGGGGCGAGCGUUGUUCGGAUUUACUGGGCGUAAAGCGUGCGUAGGCGGUCUAGCAAGUCUGGCGUGAAAUCCGCACCACUUAACGGGCGGGUGUCGUCGGAUACUGCUAGGCUCGAGGACGAGAGAGGAAAGCGGAAUUCCAGGUGUAGCGGUGGAAUGCGCAGAUAUCUGGAAGAACACCAGUGGCGAAGGCGGCUUUCUGGCUCGUUUCUGACGCUCAGGCACGAAAGCCAGGGGAGCGAACGGG
rnacentral:rRNA from 1 species